GUUCAUUAGAUACUUUAGAAUGUAUUGCUUAGUUAACUUAUGAAAAAAUAAUUUAUACUAGUGACAGACCUUUAAGGAGAUGUAGAGAUUUUCUAAGGGCCAAUAAGACAAAUAGAAAUUAAAAAAAAGAAUCUUAUGGGUCUAGUAUAUAUAUUUUAAGAGAGUAAUGACUAUUCUUUACCCAUUCUAGGUAAAAUAGGGUUAUAGUGUAAAUUUGUAAAGCAUAAUCUUUUAACUCUAGAUAGAAAGAACUUUCUAGGAUUUUUCUUUGGGGGAUUCGUUUGGCAGCCCCCCUUAUCUCUCAAAGUCUUGUCCUCCUCCUUCAUCUAUCAAACACCAUUGAAGAGCUCAACACAUAUACAUGCAACUCUUUUUCCAUCAUUAAAAUUUAAGUUUUAAAAUAUUAAAACAUAUUUACUUACCUAUUGAAGGAAGAUUUGGAUUUUACCUUCAAGAAUCAAGAUGGAAUGAGCUUAUUUUGGAAACCCUAGGUUUUGGAUUUUGUGGAGAAACUCUCUCAAACUUGCAGUUUGAUCCUCAUAAGCCAGUUAUUGAAGGCAUUGCUAGUUGCAUUCGUAGUAAAUUUGAGCUGGCUAAACCUUCUUGGAAGAAAUUCCCACAACCUACUCGGGAUAUAUGGUUUGAAGAAUUCAAGAUGGCUCCCUCAUUAUAAUGAUGCUAUACAACACAAUUUUGAGAAAAGGGCAUCUUCAAGAAUGAUCCAACUUUUUCAAGAUGUUAGAAAGGACUUGUCUGUGAUGAAGCCAAAUUGGAUAGGUGAUGCAGUAUUCAAGGAGAUGAAGGAGCAUUGGGAGUCUCCUCAAUUUAAGUUAAAGUCGGAAUAAAAUAAAAAGAAUCGCGGUGCAAAUGCAGGUGCCUCGGUUCAUACAGGUGGUUGUAUACUUCAUCGCGUGAUUUGGAAGAGAUUGAAGGAAGCUACUGGAAAAGAUCCUUCAUUUUUAGAAUUUUAUUUUCACACUCAUCGAAAGGAGAAAGAUAAAAGUUGGAUAAAUGAGAAAGUUGAAGGUGCUUAUAAUAAGUUUGAAAAAAAGAAAGAAGAAUUAUUAGCUUUCCUAAAGUGCAUCUGUUGAUGGAGAAACUAAUUCAGCUAGCGAGCUAUCUCAAUUAGGUGAAAUGGAUAUUUGAGUGCUAUCAGUUGGUAGAAAGAAAAAAGGAAGAGUUGCAGGUCUUGGCUCUGUAGAUGAGUAUGAUUAGGAUUGAGAUACUUGGUAGUACUAUUUAAGAUUUACAGUUAAGACUUUUCAUUUUCAUCUUCGGAAGACAAUCAAGAUUCAGAGUGACAAUGAUGAUAACAACAACUCUGUAGAUGAGUAUGAUUAGGAUUGAGAUACUUGGUAGUACUAUUUAAGAUUUACAAUUUAGACUUUUUAUUUUUUUCAUUUAGGAAUUAUCCAUUAUUAUUUAU